rnacentral:tRNA from 1 species
GAGGGUAUGGCUCAGUGGCAUAGUGCACGCCUAGCACGCACAAGGCCCUGGGUUCAAUCCCCAGUGCCUCCA